CCCCCUCUGGGAAGGGGAAGUGAGAAGGCCGGAGAACUGACAUCACUUCCCCUCAGGGCAGGCGGGCCCUGGGGGAACGGGCCAGGGGGGUGGCUGGACACAGGAGCAGUCCCCAGUCCAGAUCUUGGCUGUCACUGCGACCCUGGACAAGUUCAUCUCUGAGCCUCCACUCCCUCGUCUGUAAAGCGGGGCACACGCCACCACCUUCCCCACGGGCCGCCUCGAGGAUCGGGGAUGACGCCCAAAAAGAGGUGGGCAGCAAUCACAAAGAGAGAAGAUGGGAGCUGUCACACUGUCCUGUUACCGUCCCUCCCCCCUCCAGGAUUCCAACUCACAACAGAUUGGAAGCAGCAAAGCAGGACAGAGGGCUGCCCUGAGGCAGACGGGGCCAAAGGCAGAAGGCACGGCCAGAGCGACUGGGACAGUGGACGCACAGUGCAGUGGGAACAGGGGCCCUUCAGUGAAGGGACUCGAGUGCUGGGGACCCAUGUUGUCACAGCCCAGGAUGGCCACACAGGAGAAAGGAUAAAUGACCCCCGGACAUUCACAGGACGUGUCGGAUCCCUCUUGGGAAGACCUGUUCUCCUUGAGCUUCUUGGAUUUCUUCUUCUUGGGAAGGCUCACGGGCUCCUCAGGGAAAAAAUCAUCGAAGGCUUCGAGGCCACCAUCUUCUUCUUCUGGAGGAAGCAGAAGGGGGAGGGGGUUAC